AUUGAACGCUGGCGGCAGGCCUAACACAUGCAAGUCGAGCGGAUGAAGGGAGCUUGCUCCUGGAUUCAGCGGCGGACGGGUGAGUAAUGCCUAGGAAUCUGCCUGGUAGUGGGGGAUAACGUCCGGAAACGGGCGCUAAUACCGCAUACGUCCUGAGGGAGAAAGUGGGGGAUCUUCGGACCUCACGCUAUCUGAUGAGCCUAGGUCGGAUUAGCUAGUUGGUGGGGUAAAGGCCUACCAAGGCGACGAUCCGUAACUGGUCUGAGAGGAUGAUCAGUCACACUGGAACUGAGACACGGUCCAGACUCCUACGGGAGGCAGCAGUGGGGAAUAUUGGGCAAUGGGCGAAAGCCUGAUCCAGCCAUGCCGCGUGUGUGAAGAAGGUCUUCGGAUUGUAAAGCACUUUAAGUUGGGAGGAAGGGCAGUAAGUGAAUACCUUGCUGUUUUGACGGUACCAACAGAAUAAGCACCGGCUAACUUCGUG
rnacentral:rRNA from 1 species